GCAAUACCUCACCGGCGAACGGGUGCGUAACACGUGAGCAACCUACCGAGUUCUGGGGGAUAGCCGGCCCAACGGCCGGGUAAUACCGCAUACGCUUCUCGCGGGGAGUCUCGUGAGAAGGAAACCUCCGGGGGAAUUCGAGGGGCUCGCGGCCUAUCAGCUAGUUGGCGGGGUAAUGGCCCACCAAGGCGAUGACGGGUAGCUGGUCUGAGAGGAUGGCCAGCCACAUUGGGACUGAGAGACGGCCCAGACUCCUACGGGAGGCAGCAGUGGGGAAUCUUGCGCAAUGGUCGAAAGACUGACGCAGCGACGCCGCGUGCGGGAGGAAGCUCUUCGGGGUGUAAACCGCUGUUGCCCGGAACGAAACGCCUUUUUCGAGAGGCUUGACGGUACCGGGUGAGGAAGCGCCGGCUAACUCUGUGCCAGCAGCCGCGGUAAUACAGAGGGCGCGAGCGUUGUCCGGAAUCACUGGGCGUAAAGGGCGCGUAGGUGGCGGCAUAAGGCUGUGGUGAAAGUCUGGGGCUCAACUCCAGAUCGGCCGCGGCGACUGUGCCGCUUGGGCACCGUAGAGGCAGAUGGAAUUCCGGGUGUAGCGGUGGAAUGCGUAGAGAUCCGGAAGAACACCAGUGGCGAAGGCGGUCUGCUGGGCGGUGAGCUCGCGAGAGCUCAAUAGCCGACAC
rnacentral:rRNA from 1 species